CAGAAUGCUCAGGGAGACUGAUUUGAGUAAUAAUAAAACUCCGGUCUCUGGCACAGCUGGCUCUGAGUGAAUUACUCUUUCUCUAUUGCAAUUCCCCUGUCUUGAUGAAUUGGCUCUGUCUAGGCAGUGGGCAAGGCAAACCUCUUGGGCAGUUGCAACUGUACUAGAGAUGAUGGUGGCAGAAUUCUCCAGGCCUUUUGUCGCUUCUCCUUUUUCCAUGAUGACUUCAUUCUCUCAGAUGACUAUGGUUUGAAUGAGUCCACUCCAGAAUUCAGGUGUUGAAACUUAAUGGCUAAUGUGAUAGUAUUAGAGAUAGGGCCUUUAAGAGGUGAAUAGGCCAUGAAGCUUCUUUCUUAUAAAUGAAGGCUCUUAUAAAAGAGGCUUCAUGUGGCUCCCUUGCCCUUCUGUCUUCUGCCAUGUGAGGACACACGAUUCCUCUUCUCUGGAGGAUGCAGCAACAAGGCAUCAUUUUGGAAUUACGGAGCGGCCCUCACCAGGCAACCAAACUGGCAGUUCCAGUGGCUAGAAUUCCAAGAUCAAGGUGUCAGCAGCAUGGUUCUUUCUGAGAGCUGUGAAGAAGAAUCCGUUCCAUGCCUCUCCCCCAGUUUCUGGUGGUGUGCUGGCAGUCUUUGGCAUUCUUUGGCCUGCAGACGCAUCACCCUAAUCUCAGCCCAGCUCCGGAACGCCUUUCCCAUGUUUGGUGUGUUUUCUACCUAAUGAGUUUUGAUGGAAGUGAAGGCUGUUAUUUACCUCUGGAAGCUAAAAAUACCAGCUCCCUGGUCAUCUCAGAGUUGGUUUCCGAUGCAACUAAAAACAUCAACUGAUAUGAGGUCCAAAAGAUGGAAUUUUAAGCACCAAAGACGCUCCCUUAUGGGCAAAGUCUCAAUAGGACAUCUGCAUGUUCAGUUGAGAUUCUGCUUUCCCCUCAGAUGACAGAAUUAUUGGCAACCAGUUAAAUUGACGCAAUUGGAAACCCAGAAACAUGAUCAACAAAGAUAAGGAGAUGGAGAUACCAGUCACCCCUAUCAAAGUGGCAAGUGGGAGGGGGAUGCUGGUUGGUCUGUCGGAGCUGACGAAGGAAUGGGAUUGGAAUGUUUCUUUUACCAAUUAUGUAAACACAGCCUGGAGUUCCGAGAUGAGUCCAUCUCACUUGCUCAGAACUUUGCCUGGUGAGAGCGGUUACAAGCGAACAAGGUGGAAAUGAAAGAAACCCUGACUUUCCCACUAGGAAGGAAGAGACUGUUCCUUCUUGUGAUGUACUCUGAAGAAAAAUUCUAGGAUUUGGACAGAUUUCUUGGGUUAUAAAACAUGAUUUUCUUCUCUGUUUCUUGGGCUUUUAUAAUGGGUACUGUUGUUUUCUUGCAAAGCUUUAAUGAUUCCAUAAGGACUUGUAUAAAGUUUAUGGGAGAAUUUUCAAUGUAGAUGUGAAUGGCAGAAACCCAAGAAUCUGUGUGAGGUUGAAUAAGAUCCUGUGUCUCCAGAGAGGUCUGAUGGGGAGACACAGAUCUAAAUUUUAAAGGUGGUUUGGGCCUUCUCAAUCAUAUAUUAAGGUCCUUUUAUGUUAUAGAUAAGUAAAUUAAGGCCCAGAAAGAUUAAUAGCCCAAGGUCCCAAGACCUGCUUGAGACCUGUGCCCCAUUUCUGACUAAUAUUCUUCAUGAUAUUGUAUCACUCUGUAUCAAAACCAACCAACCAAUAAAACCAACCAACCAACCAACCAACAGAAAA
ensembl:lncRNA LINC01992 long intergenic non-protein coding RNA 1992